GGAGGAUUGGCCGAGUGGUCUAAGGCGGCAGACUUAAGAUCUGCUGGAUUAGCAUAUCCGCGCGAGUUCGAACCUCGCAUCCUUCA